rnacentral:rRNA from 1 species
CCUAGGGCGACCGGGNUGGCCAGAUGUCCGAUUAGCUAGUGGGUGGGGUAAAGGCUUACCGAGACGAUGAUCGGUAGCUGGUCNGAGAGGAUGAUCAGCCACACUGGGACUGAGACACGGCCCAGACUCCUACGGGAGGCAGCAGUGGGGAAUUUUGGACAAUGGGGGCAACCCUGAUCCACGCCAUUCCGCGUGAGUGAAGAAGGCCUUCGGGUUGUAAAGCUCUUUUGUCCGGAGCGAAACGGUCGUGGUGAAUAUCCGCGACUACUGACGGUACCGGAAGAAUAAGGACCGGCUAACUACGUGNUNUNCAGCCGCGGAANAU